AUUGAACGCUGGCGGCAUGCUUUACACAUGCAAGUCGAACGGCAGCACGGGGGCAACCCUGGUGGCGAGUGGCGAACGGGUGAGUAAUAUAUCGGAACGUACCCGGAAAUGGGGGAUAACGUAGCGAAAGUUACGCUAAUACCGCAUAUGCCCUAAGGGGGAAAGCGGGGGAUUCGCAAGAACCUCGCGUUUUCGGAGCGGCCGAUAUCGGAUUAGCUAGUAGGUGAGGUAAAGGCUCACCUAGGCGACGAUCCGUAGCUGGUCUGAGAGGACGACCAGCCACACUGGAACUGAGACACGGUCCAGACUCCUACGGGAGGCGGCAGUGGGGAAUUUUGGACAAUGGGCGCAAGCCUGAUCCAGCCAUGCCGCGUGAGUGAAGAAGGCCUUGGGUUCGUAAAGGCUCUUUCUAGCCGGAAAGAAAACGAC
rnacentral:rRNA from 1 species